rnacentral:lncRNA from 1 species
AAUCAGUCCACAAACACAAGGAAAUAAAUUAAAUUAGCGUUUUUUUACCAAAAAUACGACAAGUAAGACUCUAUUUAAGACAAUAUUUAAGGAAGGAAGGAUUUUUAUUUUUAUUUUAUUCUCCUUUCUUUUAUUUUAUUUCCUUAACAGGUGAGAGCACAAAACAGUAAAACUUAACCGACACAGUAAGAGUCUACUUCAAAUUCUAACUAUGACAAAUAAUCAAUUAAAAUAGCCGGUAAUACAAUCAAGCAGGAAUAGGUGAUUAUCUAAGGUAAAGAAAUAAUUUACAGCUCAAUUUUAACCAUGACCAGACAAGAUUUGCCAGAAUAAUUAAUAUAUAUAGCAACCUAAUCAAUUCGAUUUACCAAUUUACCUGCAAAAUUGUCAUCAAAUCAACAAGUACCACAACACCAAUUAAGGGCAGUUGGCAAAUAAUAAGGAGGUAACAAGUAUCACGGUUUACCAAAUUAGAUUAAAAAAACUAACCUCUACUUUUAACAGAGGACAAGAGUAAGCAAAUUAAUGAACUCAUCAAGCUAAUCGAGUAGUAAUUCAGUUUGGCGCAAUCAAUUUCACAACAGUAACACAUGCCAAACUUUAGCAACAGGGUUAUAACCACAUAUAUGAACAGGAAGAGAUAAUCACAUGAACUCAGAAGGAUAUACCUGGACAGAUUCAUAAGAAUCUGUAAUAAACCUUUUCAAAAUUACCGAAGAUAGUGACAAAUUCUCUUGAAGUCAUUUUAUUUUUGUCUCGCCGCCUCUCGUUGCUGCUGCUGGUCGUUGUUUGCACCGGCCGAAGUUGUCCUCACUGGCGCUGCUGCUUGUUCUCCUCGUCAGCUGCUGUUGUUGUCGUCCGUCGCUGCUGGACGGAGCAGCUGUUGCUGCUGUUUUCUCGCCGAGCUGCUGCUGCUGCUUCGCUGGAGUUGCUGUAGACCGGAGCUGCUGCUGCUGCUGUCACCGGCUGAAGCUGCUGCUGCUGUCACCGGCUGAAGCUGCUGCUCGCUGGUUGUGGCUGCUACUGGUGCUGCUGGUCGCCGGACGGAGCUGCUGGUCGGAGCAGUUGUUGUUGCUGCUAGCUGAGAGAGGAGAGAACGGAGAAGAGGCGAGGGGAGAGAUGGAGGCCAGCGGCUGCCUCUUGGUGGUGGCGAUUUUCGCCGGAGACGGAUGGGAAGGAGAGAGAGAGGCGGCUGCUAGAGAGGGAGAGAGGAGAGAAAAAUUAU